UGUUCAGAGAUUGUGUUCUCUGAUGGAUUGUACAGAAAAUGUAAUGUUAAUAAACCUAGUGUUAUUAAUUUGCAGUGUAUGUGUUUACUGCAUGUGUUUAUGAAUGUUCUUUUACCUUGAAAGUUAGAUGGGUGUUCACCCCAAGCAUCCUCUUGCUCAUUUUCAUUGGACAAGCUCACUGGAACAGCUGGAGUUAAGAAAGGUGAAGUUGAUGGGUGUUCUUCCCAAGUUUCCAGUUGGAGGUCUGCAUGAGAGAAGCUCUCUGUUAAAUGAGCUUAAUUGACAUUACAAAAGGUGAGUGUUCACCCCAAGCAUCUUGUGGCUCAUCUGCCUGGGAGAAGCUCAUGGGAACAUCUGGAGCUGAGAAUGAUGGAACUGUACUCAUGUAGAGCCUGUUACCUUGACAGCUGGGGAAAGUCUCAAAACGGGCCUGCUGUGGCUUCUCCAUGGCCCUUUGGUGGUGAUGAACAAGUGCUGUUGAAAGAAUUGAUAUGUAGAUGUUAUGUCUGCCUCCCAAAACAAGAUUUUGUACUACACAAAGCCUUACUAAAGCUUGAAAUUGCUAUCGCUUCUAAUUGGCAACCAAAUGUUUAUUAUUAAAUCAUCCUUAGUAUGUAAAUCCUCAAGUUAUGAAUGUAAUGAUAGUAGUUCUGUCCAAACUGUUAAAAUAGCAACAGAAUUGGGUAAGGCUGAAAAAGAAAAGUGAUGUAAACCAACAAGUCACGAGAGCCUGUGCUAUACAUUGAUCUUACCAUGGCUAAGGAACAUUCUUGAGCAUGGAACAAAACAUCCACAAAUAUCAGUUAUCUAAAUUUAAAACUCACAAUUGCUGAAAGAGUUCACUGCUUUGCUUGUUGUAAGCAGAGGUCGUACAACAGGACCUGAAAAAAAAUAGCACUCAGCAGUCACACACUAUUAUGUCUUAGUCAUUUAACUGUUUUAUUGUAUUUUUACCUUUUGUCUUGAUGUAAUUUAUAGGUGCUGGAGGAUUUGGUGCAGGCGGGACUUUUGGUGCGGGCUGGAUUUUUGGUGUAGGUGGAUUUUUGUCUCUAUUCAUUUUAAUUUUUUUGUUGGGGGUUUCAUGAAGCUCAUCAUCUGAUGAGAAUGUUUUCUUUCUAAGAGCAAAAUCAGGGAAUUAGAUUAUUUUACAAAAAUGGAUUAUAUAGGUAAUAAACUAGCAUGUUUGUCAAUUAAAAAAAAUCAAAAACAA